GGCGGGCUUCAGUCACGUGGCAGGAGCGCAGCCGUUGCGUUGUUGGUCACGUGGCAUAAAAAACGUUACCUCUUUUCGAGUCCUUGGUCAUGUGAUAGUGGCUUACGCAGAGGGUUCCUUAGCCACGUGACAAGGACUGCGGCCCGUCCCUUUGCUGUAUUGGUAGGUCUGCGUCAUGUGAUGUGGUCGCCACUCUUUUUUUUUUUUUUUAAAUGGCGAUUUUAAGCGGCAUUACCACAUGACGGAGGUCGAGGGGCGGAGUGUCUCCCGCUGCGAGUUUAUGCGCCUGCGCGGCUGCCAUCUUACGCCAGUCGCUCCGCGUACGUUGGCGGAAACGGCUCGUAGAGCCCAGCACAGGCCGAGAAGACCCGAGAUGCGGGUGUCAGCAACAGCCGGACACAUCUUGUUGCUGCUCCUGGACCGGCGCUGGUGAGCGCUUCAGUUCCUUGGUCCUGCAAACCCCGCAGUGUAGCGUCUGGCCGCCCUGCCGGGCCCGGCGUCCAAAGGGCAGAGCCGAGCUGCUAGGGAUCUUCUAGUCCUUUCACAGACCUCACCUCUCCGGACACUUAACUCCCCAGGUGAUCUCAGCCAGCCCCAUGACCUCAAAGACCAUCAAAACACUGACAUUCCUGAUUAAAUGCCUCCAGCCUGGGAUUCUCCUGUGAAGUCCUGACACAUCCAGCCACCUACCUACAUCACCGCUUCCCUUGGAGACUUUGUAUAAAGGAGUUCCAAAAUACACCGACCUGCCCGGAUCCCUUCAGCUCUGCUAGAUCCUGCCUUUCCCCGGGCUUUGCGGGCUUUUCCACAACCGCCUGCACACCAGCUCUUCUUCAGAGAACUACCCUGGGCUCGGGACCACGAUGCCAACACUGUCAAGAAGAUCAGACUGGGGCACACGGACACUUUGCCUCCGCACCCACAAGAGUCAGACGUACCUGGGAUUGUAAGCUCCUGGGCCACCUUUAGUCCAGUUCAGGACUGCUCUGAGAAGUCACUUAUCCUCUCCAGCUCCCUGCAGGCUCAGGUUGUGACAAGUGCCCUGAGAAAAAUAAAGAGUGUGAUGUGUGGUCGUCACCAAGAGGAUCCAGUCUUCGAUGAGCCCAGAAGGCUUCCUGCAGGAGGUGAUCCCUGAGCUGAAAGCCAAAGGCCAAGGAGCUAGCCAGAGAGCCAGAUGGGGAGCAUUUCAGGCACAAGGGGGAGCCGACGGGGCAGAAGAGGCAGGACCUCAAGGGCUGCACUGAAGACUUCGACUACUACGCUGAAUAAGUUCAAACAUCAAGUCCUCAGAUACCACCUCCUCCAAAAAGCUGCUUAUGACAUCUGGACCCUGUUUUAUGCUCUCCUAGCACCGCAUGCCUGUCCCCUGAAACCUUCGUCUGGUUGCAAUUUUAUGCAUGUUUAGGGCAUGACGGGCAUAAUGCCCUCAUCCCCACUAGACUGUGUCUGUCCCACUUACGGCCACACCCCCAACAAUCUGGAGACUCACAGGCCCUUGGCAGGUAUCUAAUAAACAUUUACAGACUGAAAUGAGUGGACCAAGGGGAGAUUAAAUAACUUGCCCAAACUGACUCAUCUUAGAGUGAGCAAAUAGAGAACUCAGAUAAAAAUCUAGGUCACGGGGCUCCAAGGCCUGCAAUGUUCUCAAGGUGAUGACAUUACCCCUUCAGAGCCUCACCACCUCCCUGUCAUCCCUACCUGUGCCCCCCUACACCAGUCUCCUCACUGUUCCUGGCAUAGGUCCGCCCCAGGGCCUCUGUAUUUGUUGAUCCCUGUGCCCAGAGGCUCCCUAUAUCUCCUUCAGAUCUUAGAUCUGACAUCCACAUCCAUGGUGAAGACACCUGGCCUUCCACAGCUGUCCACAUCCUCCACCACAAGCUCUAACAGUUCCCUGUACCACUCCUCUGCGGCACAGGCACAGACUGGCACAGAUCAGUUCAUAAUCACACACCCACCCAGGUCACUGUUCACGGAGGUCUAUUUGCCUCUGAAAGGUAAGGUCCCCUUGAAAGAAGCCCUUCCUCUCCCCAGGGCCUGGUAGACAGUAGGUGCUUACUACACGUCUGUGGACUAAUAUGUCAUCAAUCCCCCACCUCUGACCUCCAUGCCUAUGUGUCUAGUCAAGACACCAGGAGACCCCAGCACCACCUCCUCCCUGGACCCCCACCCAUCCCCGAAGAUCCAUACCAGUAU